rnacentral:snRNA from 1 species
AUCGCUUCUCGCCUUUUGGCUAAGAUCAAGUGUAGUAUCUGUUCUUAUCAGUUUAAUAUCUGAUACGUCCCCCAUCGGGGGACUACAUAUUAAAUGGAUUUUUCGAACAGGAGUCGGAAAUGGGGCUUGCUCCGUCCGCUCCACGCAUCGACCCGGUAUUGCAGUACCUCCGGGAACGGUGCAACACUU